UGUCUCUACUAUCUAGACCACCAUGUGGACACAACAUUGGUCUCAGUUGUCUGGCAGAACCACCAGUGCGGCACAGGGGACAGUGCCCACCACCACCCGCCUUAAGUGUAUGGUUGCUACUCUGAACAGCCUUGACUCAGUCGCUCGUAUAUCCUCAACUUCCUUGGAUCUAGAUUGAUCAACAGAACAUCCAGUGUCAGUAACAACUCUCAGGAGGGUCUGACCUGCCUACUGUGCACCCUGCAGACGUCACGGAGGAAGGUGGCACCAGCAGGCACAAAUCUCAGUGAUAAGGGGGCACUAAAUAAUGUGGCUCUGCAGAGGGAGGUCAGGGAGGGCUUCCUGGAGGAGGGAGGCUGAAAGCCAACUGUGAAAGGUACAUCAGGGUAAGCAGCUCUGGGAGGACACAGGGAGAGGAAUCAUAGGCCUGAUUGGACUAGAGAAUUCCAUCUGUCCUGUGCAGGGCACCUUGUGUCUGGGGCUCUGGAAGGCGUAGUUACCAGGGAAAAGGAACUCGAGGGCACGCCAGUGAGAGGGGCCGUUCCACAGUCCACAUGGUUGUAGCCCUCGGGGUGAGGACUCAGCAACAACAUCGUGCCCUCCAAGCCGAAGGACGUGGGAGAGGAACAGAUGGCGAUGGAUAUAUUGAACAGGUGCCAGGAUGUGCAGAGCAGGACCUGGGGCUUAAUGGAGUGCGACCUAGACAACUGACUGCUGUUCCUAUAGCUGCUGUUUCAUUUUUGUUAGACUGUUCAAGUCUGCUUUGGAAGCAGAUGCAUACAGGUAAUAAAAUUUCCUGAAGAACCAGUCUUUGUGCACAGGGGGCCUUGACACCUUCUGGCCUGUCUGAGGUCGGCACUCUAGAGAGCAUCCAACUGGAGUAACCCCAGCUGGGGCUUCUUCUCUAGCCACCUCUGGAGUCUGCAUCUGCUCACCUGCCCCACCUGACUCAGGUAACCCUGUCCUCCAUGAAUGCAUCUAUGGUUGUGGAGCCUUCUUCAGCUCCAGCCCUGCAGGGUGGAGGCUCAGGACCCUCCCUGAGCACAGACUGGGGAACAAUGGAAUCCAUCAGACACUGAAUGCACGCUGCUCUGCACUCUCAGUGGGGUGAGACAGCCAACGCUGCCUUCGUUCACUUCUCCGACAGGACAUUGGGGCGUCGAAGCAGGAAUCCACAUUCUCCAAGGCAAACCCGUGGCUCUCCUCUUCACCAUGUGUGGGAGCCUCAGUCUCUGCUCAUGUGGCACCUGCCUGGACCCUGAAGACCACAAACAUGCCUGUGAACUGGGCAGCUACAUGGGCCUGAUGCACAACAGUCCUCAGUAGACUCAUGUGGAGGGCUGGUAACCUGCUGCAGCCUGAGUUUCCUCACCUGUGGAAGAAGCAACCAGUUGCCCGCCCAGCACAAAGAACACAGGUGCUAGCAGGCCAACACCCACCAUCCCUGGACAAGUGAUGCCAUCCCUGGACCCAGUGUUGACAGCAGACAUCUAGGGGCUACAGAGGAGAGGCAGGUUAGGACUCCCCGGCCCUGCUCCCACCUUUGGAAGAAGCUGGAGGCUCUAGCUAACCCCUCCUCUGAUGUUUGCUGUUUUGUUGUUGUUGUUAAUUCCUCGCCAGGUGGAACCAGCACUGUGGGGCUUAAUUAAGCUCAGCCAGCUGUUGCUGAACACGGGAAUGAUCUCAGCAGAGUCAGCCUCAAGCAGUGGAGCGGGGAGGGCUGAGGCCACAGAACCCCAGGCCCAGGCAAAAUGUAGUCUGAAUUUGGGGAGUAGAAAACUGGGGUUGGGGGGCGCUUCUGGGUAAAUCCAAGGAUGCCCAGCUGCCAUUUCCUCCCCCUGUGCCCCCCGACCCCCGCCAUUUGUUGAAGGAUCUCAGUGCCUAAAAAUGGAGAUUCAUUCCCAAAGGACAAAGAGAGACUUUGUAGAGGGGAUAAGAGUCCAAGGGAAAUUUUAAGGAUGUACUGCCCAGCUCCGGGGCAGCAACGCGGGAGCUCUGGUACCUGUAUAGGAGAUUAUGUACGUUCAUGUGUGUGUGUGUGUGUGUGUGUGUGUGUGUGUGUGUGUGUGUAUUGAAAGGGAGGCAGAUGUAUUGGAUGGAGAAUGUGCAUGUUAAGGGGAUGUGUGUGUGUUGGGAUGUGUGUGUCUAUGUGUGGUGAAGGGAGACAGGUAUGUUAGAGGGAAAAUGUGUUUGUGUAUGUUGGGGGAAUGUGUGUGCGUGUGUGUGUGUGUGUGCACAUGCAUGCUAUGGCAGAGCAGAGAUGUGUACAGGAAAGUAUGUGAUUAUGUGUAUAUAGGGGACGUGGGGGGGUCAGGGUGUGACGUGGUGUGUAAGUUUGAGGUUCUCUGUCCACACUACCAGUGAUAGUCCAGAGUUUGCUUUUCCCUCUGGAUUUUCACAGAACUGCACUCACAACCUCUGUAAGACAUUAACAGAUGCUUUAGCGAAUUGCUUAGUUGGGAGCUGUAAGCACUGGGCUAAACUAAGUGGAGCGGGUAUCCUGGCUACAGUGCUUCUCCAAACCCCUUGCAGGUCCAAGGGAUGGGUACCCCAGAACCUUUUAUCUGAGGUGUCAGUAAGUUAAACACACUAGCAAAUAUCUGGUUAAGGGAGUCAGGUGCAGAAAGUGGAGUGGCCCGGGAACUAACCACAUGAGGGUUUAUGAAAAGGCAGCUGGCUCCGGAGUAGGUAAGAGAAUGGGCCUCACCCACACCUCGGCCCCUGCCUCCCUCAACCAAACUGUCAGUCCCCCAAAGAUACAAAGAAUCCCUAGAAACAAGAGAGGACACCCAAGUGGUAAGCAAAGGUGUCCGACCCUGGAUGGGACACCACUGUACGCCCAUUUGUAUACACACACACAGAGCCAGGACCAGUGAAGACACAAGAGACGGGCACAUGUGCUCUUGGACCAUGGGGGCUAAACUACACCUCCUUACUCUGGAAAGUUGUUGGUUGGAUGAAGAGCAGCAGCCCAUGUUGUCUGCAAUCUACCUACCGCUCCUGCCUUUCCACAGGCCUCUGUGAAAGCUUAGGGGCGAAGUGAGGCCUCUUCCUGAACUUACACUUCAAUAAACUUACAGUUUAUUGAAGAGCACCAGGAAGUGAAUCCUGUAAGUGGGCAAGACGCAGAAGAGCAAAAGUGACAUUAUCCUGGGGUGAACUCCAGCUCAACCUUGAACAAAACUGCUCUGUCCUCACUCUGGCUUACUAGCUCCAUCACACUGUGAACGGUGGGUGAGGCAGAACGAACCUGCUGGAGGUGAUCAGCGGGUAGCAAGUGCCUUGGAAGCUUUUUGUUGCAGGUGACUGGUUUAAGCAACGGGCCCUAAAUGGGGUCUAGAGAUACAGCAUCUCAAAGGGGCUGAUGCCAUCCAAGGCCUGGAUUCUUCUGAUUUUCAAGCUGCCCGGAGAUGACCUCCCCUGGGUCACAUUCCAGCAGAUGCCAGCAGGUUUGUUCCAGACUGUCUUUUCAAGGAUCUUGGUUUUAGCAAACUGCCUGGUUGGCCAGGAGGCCACCCGCAGGGCAGAAGCAGAGUUGUGUGGGGUGUCACCUAGCUGUUCCUCCAGGGAAAGGACAGGAUGUGAGUUUGCAGCCCAUUAUAAAAGUUUGGAGUUUGCUAAGCGCACAGUUCCUCACUGCAAUGAGCACACUCUGUAUGCAUAGUGUCCACCUGGCCGUGUCCAUGGGGCUUGGGGACAAGGGAAACAGACACAUGGUCCCAGCUUCUUGCUGUGCCAGGAGUAAUAAAGAUCCGUCUCAGAUCCAG